GUCGACCAGCAUCCUUGGCAGAUGGUGGAAGCCUCCUGCCUUCUCUGUGUGGGCUGUUCCUGGAGCCAAGGGAAAUCCUGUUUACUUUGACCCUUGCCUGCCAAGUGAAACAAUAUUUGAGUCCUUCGGUGAGAUACAAACUUCAAUCCAGGUCAUGAAGGUAGCCAGAGGACAGACCUGUCCCUAGGCAAUGAAAUAAGUCUUCCCUGUGAUGUCCUUUCAGCCGUCAGGGCAAAGGAACAUGGUAUCGUAUCAGUGAAAUUCAUUAAAAGGCAUGAGCACGGAAGGACUUAAAAUGUAGUUCCAUGCUGUGGUUAACCUGAAAAGAUACCUGUGAUUCCAAAAAAAAGCAUGCAAAAAGGUGAAUAAUGUGCAUUGAUGGUACUACUACUAUGGUUGAUGUUGCUCUGUUCUCUUAGGUUCUGUGCAGAUGCAGAAUGAGUUUGUCUCUGGCCCCGGGCAGCCUAUACGUACACAUAAGAAUGACACAAAAAGACAGAAUUUGACAGAGGAUAAGAAAACAGUGGAACCAUACUG